UCUGAAACAAUGUCUCAUUUCGAGGCAAAGUAUUGCUGCGCAAUUAAUCGAUAAUGCAAAGGUUAUCAAAGGCUGAGUCAACCCGAUAACCAACCCAUUGCGACGAUAACUUAAAGAUUAGUAUAAACCACUGAUUAAGGAUCAUUUUUUUCAAGUGUCCAACACUGUAAUUAGUUUCUAACGUUUAUCUUCUUUGUAUUUACAAACUGAGAUGAACAUUUAUGGACCACGAAACAUGGCAAAAAAUUAGACACUCAAGCACAAGUUUUCCAGUCACAAUUUCACAAAGGAUACGGUAUUUCAUCUUGUCAGUAUAGAACGACACUCUCAAAAGAUUAGACAUCAACAAGUUAUGGUGAGAAUAGCGUAAAGGUAAAUAAUAUAUAGUUUUGAUUAUUUAGUUAACGUGAGAAUUGAAAAUCAGUAUAAAACUGAAAUGCUCGCCAGAGAGAAAAAGCUCAUUCUAGCACAAUUUUUCUUGAGAGAUAUGCUUGGUGCAACAUCAAUUCACAAGUUAGUGCAAUGUGCCGAUGAUAUGAUACAAACUAGUCCCAAAACGUGGUCACAGUUUUUGCCUUUUUAGUUGGGCAUAACUAGUGUUGCAUCAAAAAGCAUAGCUUUUUUAAAGGAAAAGUGGGCUCGAUUUGCCUUUUUCCGUUUAUACUAAGAUAUCCAGGUUGGUACUGAAUUUUUUUAAGGCGCAAUGGUUUAAUAACCAACCCUGCCUAAUUGCCUAAACGACUCGUGCAUCUAACCACACUCUACUCAUUUAGUAAAAAAGUAAUAUGCUGGCAUAGCAUUUUCACAUUCCGAGGAUUGAAAUUAACUUUCAGGGUGGUUAAACUAGCAUUUAAAAGGCCUUAAGACACACUUUUGAUAUCCUGAAUAUUACGUAACAUUACAAAGAGCCUUCAUAAAAAGUAUCCUUUUUUUAUGUGGAGAUUUCAUUCAAACCUGAGUAAAAUAAAACCUAAAAGUGAUGCAAGCCUCCUAGAGUGAACAUUUUAGCUUGAAAGUAUUGUUCGAAAUAAAUUGUAGCAAAUUUUGCAGCUUUAAUGAUAAAAUAUUGUUCGUGACUUUUACAUACUUAAAAAUGUUUGUUAAAAUGAUGCUUUUAGUUCGCUUCAAAAAAGUAAAAUGUGAGCGUAAUUUUGAGCUACCACAAA